rnacentral:lncRNA from 1 species
AGGCGCGCCUUCCCUGCCUGGAUCCCCUGCCCCGCAGCCCUCGCGCGGGGGCGGCGCCGCGAGACCGGCCAGGAGGGGCCAGCGCGGGCCGCACUCCGCCUCCGACCCUGCCGCCGCGGUUCCAGCUACCUACGGUUCUCGAACCAGCUGGAACUUUCCAUGCCUUCCGUCUCAUCCUGGGCGGCGGGCGAGCGUGCGCCCUCGUGCGCGUGCGCUAAACAGUGCGGUCUCGUCCGUGCGCGCGCUUCUCGCCCGCGACUUCUCGGCGCGGGGGACCUUCUAGGCGUCCACGCUGCUCCGGGCGGGGUCGCGGCUGGACCUGGGCUCUUCCCGCAGCUGGUUGCGCAGGGGAGUUCCAGAAUGUUCCGGCAUCUAAAUGAGAGGACCUUUGGGAACAAGGAUGACACUUUAUCUUCAAUCAGUAAUCUGGCUGGUUGACAUUAGAGAGCAGCCAGAAACGAGAAUUUCCUCCUACUGUUAAUGAUUCAGUGCUUAAGAAAUGUCCACGAUCCUACAUGCAGAAAGGAGGGCCAUUGGUCUGACAGUGAGGAAGAGCAGCUUCGGGCCUGGUGAAUUAAACCUCGGUGCUAUUAAACUUGACUCCAGCUGCAAGCCCACAGCUACAAGUCCUGGGUAAGUGCCGCAGGCAACAGGACCUCACUGCCACCCAUCUGGGUACUGUAAGGUACAUCCCCACACUGUGGCCAUAGGAUCUUUCUGAAAGCACAUAUCUGAUUCAGUUUCUGCGCAGCUUAAAUACUUGAGUCCAAACUCCUCAACAGGGGAUACAAUGUCCUUCCUCCUGCAGCACCGACCCCUUUCCCCAUCGACUUCCACACACCUGCCUCCAUCCCUCUCGCCACUCCUCAGUGUCACUCCGUGGUGCUUGCAGCCCCUGAGCUCUGCACACGUUUCCCCUGCUGCCUUUUGUCUUCAGCCUGGAACAGACCCCAGUCCCUUCCCCUAGCCUACUCCUAUUUGCCCCUUACUUUUUUUUUUUUUUUAAUUAUGAGAUAUACAGACAGGGACUGCAUGGAACACAUAGAGAGAAUUUUAAGAAUUAUUUCACAAGCAUCUCAGAAGCCCACUUUCCAGAAUCUUCUUCCGUGCCUCUCUAGAAACAGGCCCACUCCUCUCCCCCCAUUCCUGGCUUUUCUUUCUAAUCUUACCAUCUUUGCAUGCAUUCCCCAAUCCAUAGCCUAUUUCAGUCCACUUUCUGAAUGUUGCAGUGUGAGAAUGUCACUUUCCCUACCCACCCCCCGGCUCAUUCUUCCAAGUUAUUAAGUGUAGUUGUAGCUCAUUUAUUUUCAUCACUGAAACUACUCUACUGUUCAGCUACACCACUGUACAUCUGUUGGUUUGACAGACAUGGUUGUUUCCUUUGUGGGUGGCUAUUACCAAUAAUACCACCGGGAACACCUGUACACAUAGACCAGUGCAUACAGGUACACGUGCAGAGUGGAAUGCUACCUCCCAUGUAGCUGUUCUAUUGUAAUGCCAAACCGUUCUCUAGAGUGGUGGUGCCAGCUUGCACUUCCUCCUGCAGGAUAUGUCAAUUUGCUAAUCCCUGUCCUCUGCUCAUGUCUCAGUUUUGACCACUGCCAUGUAGAAAGCCUAGCCUAAACUUGAAAGUCUAGAUCAGGUGCACCUCAUUGGUGCUCUUUUUAGCACCUGUGCUCACUCUGUCAUCACAUUAACCGUACCUUGUUACAGCAUGCACAGGACAGAAGUGAAAAAAUACUGUUCAGAUCCCCAGCUGCUGUCCCUCUGGACCCAUUGUUGUAUUAGUUCUGAAGCCACAUGUCCCUUUGGUGGCUCCCCAGGUUCAUUUCUGUUACACACAGGACUCCUCUGAUAGGUGACUUGGGCUCAAGGACUUCCCAGUGACCUGAACAAAUCUUUCUUGGAAUUGUACUACAGUCCCCUCCCCUCCGUCCUGCACAGAUGUCAGACCUGCAAUGUCUUCUCCCCGCCUUCUCUGCUUCCCUCCCUUGGUCCUUCAUGGGCAUGUCUUCCAAGAAAUCUCUUACCUGUCUAAUUCUAUCUUGCUGUCUGCUUCUUAGAGAGCCUGAACUAACACAGUGUCAUCUCUUCGUUACCCUGUGGCCUUAGCAAUUAAUACAUACAUUCUCAAAAAAGAAACUCUUGUGCCCCCAGUGCCAAUGGGAGGGACUGAUACAUGAUAGAUGCUGAGAAAAUAUUGGAGAAUAAGUGAAUAAAUAAAUAAAUGAGAUGCCAACUCCAUAUGAACAUGUUUCUGGUGUCAUCUUGAAGGCAGAGGAAAACUGCUUGACCCAACUCUGAUACCUCCCUUCUUCCUUCCUUCCUUCCUUCAGAGAGAGAGAGAGAGAGAGAGAGAGAGAGAGAGAGAGGGAGGGAGAGAGAGACACAGAGAGAGAGAGAGAGAUGAGUAUGUGAGCAGAGGAGCAGAGAGACAGGGAGAGAGAAUCCCAAGCAGGCUCCACACUAUCAGCACAGAGCCUGAUGAUGCAAGGCUCGAACUUGCAAACCAAGAAUCGAAUGCUUAAGAGUGAGCCACCCAGGUGCCCCACAUCCCUUCUUUCUAUGGGCCUACCCGCAGACUGUGCUUCCUACUUAAAAGGUGUGGCCAGUAUACAAUGACGGACAAAGGAACUAAGAUUUCACAUUCUUUCCAUGAGGGAAGAACAAAGUCUCCCUUUAGGUCAUUGGCUUGGGAACAUUCUCUUUGGCUCCUCAUUCCGUAUUUCAGAAGCUUCUGAUCACAAUGCCAACCUACCAGACUUGUGUCACCGCCAAGUGGCAAAGAGAAGGGACCUAUGGUAAGUGGCCUCUAGGAUGGCCUCCUAUGAUCUCCGCCUGCUGGUAUAAUUCCCUGUCCUUGAGUGUGAUCCACAUUUAAAAAUCCCUAAGGAAUUGAAUACAAUGGAAGUGAUAGGAUAUGACUUCUGAUUUUACAUUAUAAAAAGAACUGUAUCUUCCAUGGAUUGAGAGUCAGAACACCUAAGUGUAAUCUUUACCUUUACAGGGCACUGGCCAGGUUAUUUUCUUUUUUGAACUCUUUUUUUAAGUUUACUUGUUUAUUUUGAGAGAGAGAGAGAGAGAGAGGGAGAGAGAGCAUGCUCACACGCUGGCAGUUGGGGAAGGGGUAGACUCCCAAGCAGACUCAGCACUGUCUGUGUGGACCUGAUGCAGGGCUCGAACCCCACAAACCAUGGGACCAUGAUCUGAGCUGAAAUCAAGAGUAGGAUGCUUAACUGACUGAGCCACCCAGGAGCCCCCUGGCCAAGUCAUUUUCAUCUCUUUAUGUCUUAGGUUGUUUAUCCAUUAAAUGGAUUAAGUAAUACCCAACUAAUUAUGAUUAGUUUUAUGUGGGAAAUUAUAUAAAAACCAACUUUUACUAAGUGUCACUUUACAUAUCUUUUUUGUAUUAUUCACUUAAUGCUCACAGCAUUUCUAUGGGUGAGGACUGUUAUCACCCUCAUUUCAUACAAUGGAAUAUGACUCAGGAAUAAAAAGAAAAGAACUAGUAACAUGUUCAGCAACAUGAAUGAAUCUCAGUUAUGCUGAGUGAAAUAAGCCAGACCCCUCCCCCCCCAAAAAAACCCCAUACCAAAUGAUUCCAUUUAUAUAAAAUUCUAGAAAAUUCAAACUACAGUGACACAAACAAAUCAGUGGCUGCUUGAGGUAGAAGUGAAGAAAAGGGAUUUUACAGGGGCAUGAGGAAAUGUUUAGGGAUGAUGGGCAUUUUUAUUAUCUUGAUUAGAGCAAUAUUUUCAUGGAUGUAUACAUAUGUCAACAAGUAUCAAAUUAUAUACUUCAAAUAUGUGUGACUUACUAUGUAUCAAUUAUAACUUAAAAAAGCUAAAAAAUAUAAAUCAUUCACAUUUUUAUACGCAGGAAAGACAUUCUAGGUCAUUGUUCUGUUAUACCUCUACCCUCAACUUACCCUGCUUCCCCUGCCUCAAAUUCCUGAGUAAGAAGAGGUCAAAACCACACUCACCUCUGGUAUUCACAUC